CCCGCACUGGCCCACGCUGAAGAUAGGGGACUUGAGUUCCAGUCUUCCUUCUGCUACCGACCGGCUUUGUGACCUUGAACAAGACUUCCCCUCCCUGAUUCCAUCCUCAUGUCACAUCUGAAGCCUCCAACUUCUGUCACUGAGCUCAGGAUUCCCAGGCAAGCCCACGGAGUGCCCCACAGGGUCAGAGCCGUAACAGGACUUGGAAAAUAACCCGAAAAUUGGGCUCAGCCUGUUGCUGCUUCCCUUGCUCCUGGUUCAAGCUGGUGUCUGGGGAUUCCCAAGGCCCCCAGGGAGGCCCCAGCUGAGCCUGCAGGAGCUGCGGAGGGAGUUCACAGUCAGCCUGCAUCUCGCCAGGAAGCUGCUCUCCGAGGUUCGGGGCCAGGCCCACCGCUUUGCGGAAUCUCACCUGCCAGGAGUGAACCUGUACCUCCUGCCCCUGGGAGAGCAGCUCCCUGAUGUUUCCCUGACCUUCCAGGCCUGGCGCCGCCUCUCUGACCCGGAGCGUCUCUGCUUCAUCUCCACCACGCUUCAGCCCUUCCAUGCCCUGCUGGGAGGGCUGGGGACCCAGGGCCGCUGGACCAACAUGGAGAGGAUGCAGCUGUGGGCCAUGAGGCUGGACCUCCGCGAUCUGCAGCGGCACCUCCGCUUCCAGGU
rnacentral:lncRNA from 10 species